rnacentral:lncRNA from 1 species
AUCAGGAAGGAGGCCUGGUACAACUCCCAAGGAGGCACGUGUCCCUCGGGUGGGCUUCAUGUCCCAGAAACUCCAGAGAAGGGGUGGAGAGGUACCUUCUAGGCAAGCUGGUCUCCUCUGGCUUUUCUUGUCCCCUAGGGCUCCCUGCAAAGAGACAGAGCACAGCCUGGCCAGUGAGCAGUAUCUCCUACUGCGCUUGCUGUGAGCCAGCCACUCUGCCCUCUUUCAGGAAUUACAAAAUCCAUAGGUCCCCGGCAUCCUUAUUUAUGUAUUUAUUCAUUUAUGAGGCAUGAUUUUCCUCAGCUCUGUUGGAUGGGUCUCUGUGAAGGGAGCUUGGUGGGGGUGAGUGGCCCCUCUCUGGAGGAGGCAGGCCCCUGGUCAGGAUCUUUGGGGCUCCAGGUCUCAUGAGUGGGGGCCAGGCUCCCUAGAGAAACCCUUCUUGGCUAGGGCUGGGAAGCCCACCAGAGUGACCCAAUCAGUUCUCAGGGCCUGUGAUGGGGCCAAGUGGUUUUGAGAAGCCGCUGUUCAGCUCCAUCCUAAAGAGCACUCAUGUAAGUUGGGGAGGACGGCUGGGGUGCACAGCUCUGAGCUGAGUCAGACCCACCUCAGGACUGAGCCCAGCAGAAGGAGGCCCAGAGUCACAGACCAUAAAACAAGCAGAUGCCUCCCCUGUGCUGGUGGAGAUGAGUCUUGGGCAUCAACUCUAAUAAUUUCUAAUGCACCCAGAAAUACUGAUUCACACAGCAACUAGUGAAUAAUAGCCUUUUAGAACUAAAAAAGCCUUGUAUGAUUUAUUAUAAAAUAACAUAUGCAUUUUACACAAACUAGAGGCACCAUGAUGGGCAAGCAGCAGCCUGUUCAGGGGCCACAGCAAGAUUGGAUUUCCUUAAGUGCAAUAGGAGUUACUGGCUAGGGUUUAAGGUUUUAGCCACAGAAAAGAUGAAUGUAUUUCAGAGCAAUAUGGGUGGAUUCAAAAUGAGGUUUAGAACUAGAUCAAUUUUUUUUUUUUAGAGAGUCUGACUCUUAUUGCCCAGGCUGGAGUGCAGUGGUACUAUCUCAGCUCACUGCAACCUCUGCCACCCAGGUUCAAGCGA